rnacentral:rRNA from 1 species
UACAGAGGUCUCAAGCGUUGUUCGGAUUCAUUGGGCGUAAAGGGUGUGUAGGUGGCGCCGUAAGUCGGGUGUGAAAUUUCGGAGCUUAACUCCGAAACUGCAUUCGAUACUGCGGUGCUUGAGGACUGGAGAGGAGACUGGAAUUCAUGGUGUAGCAGUGAAAUGCGCAGAUAUCAGGAAGAACACCCGUGGCUAAGGCGGCUCUCUAGUACGGUACUGACGCUGAGACGCGAAAGCGUGGGGAGCGAACAGG